rnacentral:lncRNA from 1 species
CAAACGGGAAAGGAUUGUGCAGAUCUAAUAUAUCAUGCGUAAACUGUGGGUUUUCUUCUUCUGUAUGCAUUUCUACAGCUCCAUUCCUAAUAUCUUUUUAAAAUAGCACUUAAGGAUAAACUACACUUCAAAUGACACAUUAUGCUCCAUAGUGCAGUUGAGAACCAGCAAAUGUAACCAUUCUCAGGAAAGCUGGUUGGCAGAAAUUCCAACACUUUUUCAAGUAUGUAGAUAUCCACAGCUGAAGUCAACCCUGGAAAAUCAGUGAUUUUUUCUUUCCUUCUGAAUCAAUGAUCCCCUUGUUCUUUGUCAAAUCCUCACUUGUCGUGAUCCUCCUUGGUUGUCUCAAUCUCACACAAUAUUAGAAGAGUGCUCUGAAACAUUUUCUCUGUUGAUAGCUGAGGGAAAAUUGAGUUUACAGAUGGCAUUGCUAUACUGAUACUAUAUAAGAGAUGCUUUGCAAAGUGAUUCUAUAAACAUAUUCCAAAGAAGAGACUCUGAUAUCCCAUCAUCACCCUAAUGUAACCUUAACUGCCUUGAAAUGAGCUAAUGAAACUUUUGGGCAGGCCUUUUAGAGAGUACAUUUGCAUUUGACAUAAUUAGUGGUAGGCAGAUCUCACUACAUCCAGAGGGAAUCUCAAGACAACUGCUUUGUCGACUAUUAGUGCCUAAUUUCUGAAUGUCAAACCCUGCACAUCUUAAUUUCUAGAGAAUAAGCUCAAUUGAACUUGCUCCCCAGUUAUGCAAAAACUGCUCAGAUAAAACCAAGUGGACACCAAUGUAAUGAAUGUGGUUAUUAAAUUGUUUCAAUUGAAAGAACCCUAUUCUUACACCAUCAUAAUGGGAACAAUUUAUCCCCACUGAUCGGCCUGUCUCUCUCUUUCUCUCUCUCUCCCUCUCUCUCUCUUUUCUGAGCUCUCUUUGAUCUUGAAGCAUAUUGCGGUGGUGUGUCCUAUUGAAAAGCGAAACUGGGGCAAUUUUAAUGCUUUUGUACCUUACCAGUGCUCUAUUUUUUCACUGUUUAAAAAUAGCUGUUAAUUAUAAGUGCAGUUUAAAUGUCUCAAGUGACCCAGAAAUGCAGGUUGGAAUGAGACAGAUUGUGUGUCUCAUAUAAAACAGAUGUACUUUCACAGAGCAUUCUGAAUUCAGCCUUCGCUCUGUAUCCUCCUCUUGGGUUAUUUCAAUCAGGUAUUGAGCUGGUCUAGCACUGUGCUAUAAAAUCCUACACAUUUGAACAGGGAACAAGAAAAGUGGAUUUUUUUUUUAAUGACAAAGAAAAGCCUCUUUCAUGUUUGGUCACUACAACGAGAGCGAGUGUGCUGCUGUUGGUGAGGACGAUAGAACAAGGGCCAUUUUCCUGACCAGGAAGACCAUCCAGUUCUCUGGAGCUUCAUUCUGCUGUUUCUUGGAUUGGGGGACUCUGUUAAAAGAACACUGUAGUAGUGAUAAACAUGUCUGCUUGGGUCCUUCUUCAGCUUAUUCAAUAGUUCUCAAGGGCAAAUUAACUUCCUGCUGGUUUUUAAAUAUCUUUGACCCUUCACCCUUUUCAGAAACAGGUGUUUUUAAGCUCUUUGAUAACACUAGACCCUGGAGAUAGUGACUUUGCUGUUGAUGUUUUAGGUACUAAGGCUUUAACAAUCCAUGUGUUAACUCAAUAAAAAUCAUGUUAUCAAUCUAUUCUGCUAUGGUCUGAACAAAUCAUACUUACCCAAAUAUAGGUGUUUGUAUACAGUAGGUUUGAAGGUACUCCUCAGUCCUAGAAGUGAUUUCAAAGUUGUUUAGAAUAGAGUGCUAUCUAGUGGUUUCAUGAUUUUAUCCAGGUACCUCUAGAUCUUUGGUAUAUACUCUGAAGCCUCUUGAAUCCAAACAGUUGGAUACUCAAGACCCAUUUCCCUUCCUCUACCUUGACUCAGUCCUUGUGGUUCAUCCUCCAUUGCCAGUAGAGUGAGGCUGUCUCAGAAAAGGGAGGGCAGUUGAUGUGCACUGGUCUUCACCUGGAAAUGCCCAACAGGAGUUCUCUAUCACGGUGGCAGAAAUUUUCAGUCAUUUUAGUCAAGUUCUAAGCAUAGGCACUGAUGUGAACAUUUUUCAUAGGUAAUUUUCCAUUUUAAUCUAUAAAUUUUACUUAAUUGGUUGAUUUGAUUCAACCAUUCUAGUUUGUCCAGUAAGAUUUAUUCUACUUAGUGUUUACAAUUUGUCAGUGACAAUCUAAGGCACUUGGGUUAUGGUCUCAUUCUAAGCCAAUGGUUUCUCUUUAGAAGUGGGAAAAGGUAUGGCAUCAGAUAAUUUUCAGGCAAGUUAGCUACAUCAUAGAGAGUUGGUGUUGAAAACAAAUUUUAAAAAUUCUCAAA